rnacentral:rRNA from 1 species
GAUGAACGCUGGCGGCGUGCCUAAUACAUGCAAGUCGAGCGAACAGACGAGGAGCUUGCUCCUCUGACGUUAGCGGCGGACGGGUGAGUAACACGUGGAUAACCUACCUAUAAGACUGGGAUAACUUCGGGAAACCGGAGCUAAUACCGGAUAAUAUAUUGAACCGCAUGGUUCAAUAGUGAAAGACGGUUUUGCUGUCACUUAUAGAUGGAUCCGCGCCGCAUUAGCUAGUUGGUAAGGUAACGGCUUACCAAGGCGACGAUGCGUAGCCGACCUGAGAGGGUGAUCGGCCACACUGGAACUGAGACACGGUCCAGACUCCUACGGGAGGCAGCAGUAGGGAAUCUUACGCAAUGGGCGAAAGCCUGACGGAGCAGCGCCGCGUGAGUGAUGAAGGUCUUCGGAUCGUAAAACUCUGUUAUUAGGGAAGAACAAAUGUGUAAGUAACUAUGCACGUCUUGACGGUACCUAAUCAGAAAGCCACGGCUAACUACGUG